rnacentral:rRNA from 1 species
UACAGAGGUCUCAAGCGUUGUUCGGAUCCAUUGGGCGUAAAGGGUGCGUAGGUGGCGCUGUAAGUCGGGUGUGAAAUUUCGGAGCUUAACUCCGAAACUGCAUUCGAUACUGCGGUGCUUGAGGACUGGAGAGGAGACUGGAAUUUACGGUGUAGCAGUGAAAUGCGUAGAGAUCGUAAGGAAGACCAGUGGCGAAGGCGAGUCUCUGGACAGUUACUGACGCUGAGGCACGAAGGCCAGGGGAGCAAACGGG